UACGUAGGGGGCAAGCGUUGUCCGGAUUUAUUGGGCGUAAAGAGCGUGUAGGCGGCCGCACAGGUCCGUUGUGAAAACUGGAGGCUCAACCUUCAGACGUCGAUGGAAACCGUGCGGCUAGAGUCCGGAAGAGGAGAGUGGAAUUCCUGGUGUGGCGGUGAAAUGCGCAGAUAUCAGGAAGAACACCCGUGGCGAAGGCGGCUCUCUGGGACGGUACUGACGCUGAGACGCGAAAGCGUGGGGAGCGAACAGG
rnacentral:rRNA from 1 species